rnacentral:misc_RNA from 1 species
AACCAUCAAAAACCCUUUAUUCUUCGAUCCUCAUUCGGUCGGGAAAAGGAGUUUUUGGACUUGGAGGUUCCAUGCUCGCUUUCACUUUUGAAAGUGAGCUCCUCUUAAAUGAAUUAGUGGGGUCUGCUUUGCCGAUCCUUGACGUGUUAAGAUGUUUCUACGUUUUGGACUUGGCACUGUUCCUCGGGCCACCCGCUCCCAACCGUCCACUUGGACAACCAUGGUGCUUCGGUCACCGCCAUCUUACAUCGGUGGUGGAAGGCUGGACCCAUAGAAAAGAA